AUCAGCUGAUUUGUCAUUCCAUGUAGGGCCAACGGAAGCGGUAGUAUUUUGAAUUUUUCUCUGGACUUUCAUGAUGUUAGGCAGUUAUAAACCUAUUCCUUGAUACUCAAAUCUCGGUUUCUACUGUUAGUGAAAACUGAAUCCGGUCAACUCAAUCAUUGUAUUAGAAAACCAUAAUGUUUGUUUGAAGACAAAUAUGUGAAGGAACAGAAAAUUACCUGACAUUCUAAGGCAGGUACCGUAGACGAGCACCCAGACAGCCUGGCUACUAAGACUCGACGAUAAUUAAGGUAACAAGAGAAAACGACUGAGCUGUUGACAUACUUUGUUAUGUCGAUGCAUUCUGGCAUUCUUUGCAUAGGGGCAUCGCUGUAAAGUAUGGGAGGCAGUUUCGACUUGUGAUUUACAGUGUCGACACGAAAUAUCUCCAAAGAUGGACGUAGUUACGGGAAUCAAUUUGGUAAUAUGCUUAUUACCAAUCCUAUGGUUAAGUAUGGAGCCAGUAACCAUUGAGUCAACGGCAAAGGCAAAUGCGUUAUGUUCAUAUCCAAAAGCAUCAAGUAAUAAUAGUAGGAGGAGUAUCCAAAAGUUCAUCCAAUAGAAGAUUGAAUAAAAGUGGUCUUAACGGGCAACCUUGCUUUACACCGCACCGAAUUGGAAUAGGUUCCGAUAUCUCAUUGGGUAAUCUAAUGAGUUUUAAUAUCUUUGUAUAAAUUCUGAAUUAUCAUACGCAUAAACAAAGGAAUAUCAUGUCUUGUCAACGCACUAUCAAUUGUGGAAUGAUGGACCGAAUCAAAAGCCUUUGAUAUAUCCAAAAACAUAACAUAAUGGGACUUUAAUUUGUUCCUACACUCUGUUAUGAUGCCAUCGAGAAGUUUAGUUUUCUCACGGCAACCAUCGGCAGGUAUAAAUGCUUUUUGUCGUUGAUUAAGAUUAAUAACAUUCUUCAAUCUAAAAUUAAUAAUCUUGGUAUAUAAUCGUAACAAGUAGGACCCGAUAGUUAUAGGCCUCCAUUUUGAGAGGUCCUCCUUGACGGGAUCUCCUUUGGGUAAUAGCAUAGUGUAGUUAUCUUUUAAGGUAUUUGGAAUUUGGCGAGUGACCAUCUAUAAAUUGAAUAAGGUCGCAAGGUCACGAGGCUGAAUACAUUUAAGGUCCUUAUAAAAUACGCCAUCCGGGCCCGCCACACCGUCUCUCUUUAUAGUCUUAAGAGCAUCAGACACUUCAUUUGUAGUUAUAGGCUGAAGUAAAUUUUGGAGACUGGUAUCAUCCAAACGGUUCAGUGGUUCCUCCGUAAUAAUGUUUUCAUCUCUUUGCUGUUUAUUAAAUAUAUUAUUAAAAUGGACAAAAGCAGUUUCAGGAUUAGGAGCGAUAUUGGUUAUUGGUACAUUAUCCAAAAGAUGCCUAGACAAGUUUUAAGAGUUUAUUUUGUGUAUAUAGGUCUUGAUAUAUAGGAUACAAGAGCUUUUGGCAGGUAAUUUUGGAACAUUGAUAGACUUGUGGAAAGAUAAAUCUGAAUUUUUCUUGGUAACCGACCAAAAUCAAGGGGUACUUUAUUUUUAAAACAGUUAAUUAAGUCAGUCAGUCAAAUCGGACUGUAAUUUGGUAUUUUUGUCAUGUUGGCUAUCGUGAAAGUUUUUAUCCAACCAUCGAAUAAGGGGAUAUUUGUUGUCGAAGUCAGUGAUAAGAUCGACAUUAUUAGUAGAUCUAAAAUCUAUUUAUAUAUUAAAUGCGAGAAAUUCCCGAUUUUUUUCCUUAUAGGAAGGUUUCCUUCUUUGAUAUUUAAUUUUAUCAAUUGUACGGUUUGGAAACCGCUUAUUUAUAGCUUUAUUGACAAAUUUAAUGUGACAUGUGGAUUUUGUCACUAUGAAGUUAUACCUAUUUAAAUGGGAUAUUCCAAAUUCUAACCCCUAUUUGGGAUAAUGGGUUAAUCCCUUAUCUUACUUUGCCAUGGUAACCGGACCAAGAAGAGCCUAAUGUUUAUUUUA